rnacentral:lncRNA from 1 species
AUAUAAUUCCCAAAAGUUCUAUUUUAGGAAAGUUUUCAUUUUCUAUACAAAUAUUGUAGAUUUGGGGUUGUGAUUUAGAAAUUAGGAUAACAAUAUUUUUUUGUUGAUAGAUGAGUACUUUUUUAGAUUUUUUGAUCAAUAGGUUGUAUAUUUUAGAUAAAAUUCUCAAAAAUUGUAUUUUUGAAAAGUUUUCAUUUUUAUAGCGAAAUAUUGUAGAUUUGGGGUUGUGAUUUAGAAUUUAGGAUAACAAGAAUUUUUGUUGAUAGAUGAGUUUUCUUUUAAAAGUUUUGAUCAAUAAGUUGUAUGUUUUAGAUAAAAUUCUCAAAAAUUCUAUUUUUGGAAAGUUUUCAUUUUUGUGAAUAAUAAUAUUGUGGAUUUGGGGUUUUGAUUUAGAAAUUAGGAUAACAAGAAUUUUUGUUGAUAUAUGAGUAUUGUUUUAGAUUUUUCGAUCAAUAGGUUGUAUACUUUAGAUAAAAUUCUCAAAAAUUAGAUUUUUUCUUAUAUGUUAUAUUUUGAAUUUUUUUAAAUGACUUUAAAUUACAAAAAUGAGGAAACCAUAUAUGUUUUUUUUUAAACCGACUUUAAAAUACAAAAAUGAGGACACCUUAUAUGUUAGAUUUUUUCUUAUAUGUUAUAUUUUGAAUUUUUUAAAACAAAUUUAAAUUACAAAAAUGUAAGUUUUCCUUAAGUAUACUACUAAAAACAUUAAAAUGACAUGUAUCAGUUCGAUGGUUGAUUUGAAAGAUUUCAAAACCAUAUGUAAGUUAAAAGUCAAAAUAAUUCAAUCGUGAAAACAAUACUAUUCACUUUUUCAAAAUUGUGUUCGUGGAAAAAAAUAAGGUUUUUAUGUCAUAAUUUGUUUAAUGUCCACUAGAGAACAUUAUAUUAACCUAAAAUAUAAGAAAUGUGUAUUCGUUCCCUAAAUAAAAGCUACGAAAUUAUCUAAUAUGAUUUACAUAUAUAUGGCAAUUAAUGAUUAUGAAUAAUAAAGAUUUGAUAACAAUUUUUGCAUCCUUCUUCAUUUUGUUUAAUUUUAUAUUAUUAAAAAAAAUAAACAAUCGCAUUAACCAUAUAAUAAAAAAUUAGAUUUUUUCUUAUAUGUUAUAUUUUGAAUUUUUUUAAAUGACUUUAAAUUACAAAAAUGAGGAAACCUUAUAUGUUAUUAUUUUUUUUUAAAAACGACUUUAAAAUACAAAAAUGAGGACACCUUAUAUGUUAGAUUUUUCUUAUAUGUUAGAUUUUUUCUUAGAUGUUAUAUUUUGAAUUUUUUAAAACGACUUUAAAUUACAAAAAUGUAAGUUUUCCUUAAGUAUACGACUAAAAACAUUAAAAUGACAUGUAUCAAUUCGAUGGUUGAUUUGAAAGCUUUCAAAACCAUAUGGAAGAUAAAAGUCAAAAUAAUUCAACUGUGAAAACAAUACUGUUCAAUUUUUUCAAGAAUGUGUUCGAUGGAAAAAAUAAAGUUUUUAUGUCAUAAUUUGUUUAAUGUCCAAUCCGAUUAACCCAUGAUGUAUUAAUUAUAGUUUUGUUCCACUAUUUUUAAUAAAAAUUGAUCCGAUCCAUAGGAAAGAAAUUAUAUAAUAACAACAAAAAAUAUUUUAUAUAUAUAAAUAAAAUGAUCACAUAUAUAAAAAAAACUAUCGAUAAUAUAUACAAAUAAACUCACUAUGCGCAAGGGGCAGAUCUUAUCAACUAUCCUAGUUGAUGAUUAAGCGGGGAAUCAAUGUGCCGGUUUAACAAAACCUUCAUGAAAAUUAUUUGUUAGAUAGACUCAAUGCCUAGUCUCACAAUGAUUUACGAAUAUACUUGAAAAUAAAUAAUUUUAGAAUUCCAUUUAAGUUUGAUGGGUUACUUGACUUCAAACAGAAUUAAGAAUAUUGGAUAUCGAAUUUUAUGUUUGAAAACAUAAUUUUAUUUAUUUUAUUUAUUCUGACGGGUAUUAAAUUAUCUCAACCCCCUUAUUUUUGGUCAUGGGCCGGGUUUUAAGGUUUUACAUUACAUGGUCUUGAUUAGUAGAAUGGGAUCAUCCUUAGACCUAACUUCUCAACACGAGAUGUAGCAUCUUUAACUUUGAUGAAUUUGACGAAUAUGGUCUUAGCCACAUCAUUGGUGAGAACUAGAACUUGUUGUGGUGUAGUUCCCAAUAGUGGGAUGGAUCCAACGUUUCCGGCAGAAGUGGUCAAUUUGUAAAUGUUUGUUCCAUCUUCUUCUCCGACUUUCUCUAUCUUAAACCGGCUAUUUGGUUCCUCAGGUCUACCACCGAUGAGAAUUGGAGGCUCAAUGAUAUACCGUGCUUCAUAGACUUCCCAGAACUUGGAUAGCUCCUUACAGUCGUUGGACUUGAACUCGAUGGUUAUACUGAAAUUUGUUUUGACAACUUCUAAUGGCGUGAUGAACCCCGGUGGAUAUGCUAUGCUAACUGGCACUCCCGGUUCUCCCGUAAAUGUUUCGCUAAUACCACGUGGUUCACAAAAGGGAUUUAUACCAGCAAGUGGAGCAAGACUACCGCCGUUAAUCCCGUUACUGAUCGGUUGUAUGUAGUAUUGUUCUUUGAGUCGAACUUCGUUCCCAUUGCUGUCCCUUACCGAUUCUUCUCCGUGGGUGCAGACAGCUGCAGCCAACAGGAGAAUGAGGAGAAAAGAGGCCAAUGAUGUCAUGAUUGCCAUUGUUUUUCUUUGUUUGUUUGAGUUGAGUUAUAGAGAUCAUACACAUUGUAUCCGUAUUUAUAGGAAGUCUUGGGGUUAAAUUUUAAACCGCUUAAUGUUCAAAAGAAGAUUGAAAAUCUUUCAUUUCUGUUAAAUAAAUAUCUACAGUAAUCAGCUUUAAAAAAAAUUUCAAAGGUUUUUUUAUUACUCACGUCGCAUUCUGAUCAUUCAUUCAUUUUAGCUGUAAGGGUUAAAAAUAGAGGUUUAGACUUUAUGCUAUUCAAUUCCAUCUUCGAUUUUUAACACGAGGAUCAUGCAAAACGGUUCUUGUCAAAUAAUUGAUGGGAAGAAGACAAUAACUUCAUACAGAGUGAUGGGAUGGAGGAUACAAAGUAUGAAUGAUUCUAGACAUCUUUGUCUUUUUUCUCUCUGUUAAAUAGUUACUAAAAACGAAAAAGAAAAGAAACCUAAUUCUUUCCGUCGGACUAUAUAUAUAUAUCAAUAGGAAAAUUCCAGUUUUGUAAGUAACCGUAUCAAGAAUAAGAGCAUCUCCAGUUUCAAAAAAAAAAAAGAAUAAGACAUCUCCAAAACAAACUCUAUAAUUUCAAGCACAAAGUUUUUUGCUCUAAAAAAAAAAAACUUCAAAACUUUAUAUUUGAAGUUUCAUCUUUUUAUUUACAUUUUAGUACUUACAAUUAACUAUAUAUCACAUUUAUAAUUUUUAAGUAUUUUAUCAUUUAUUAUUUUAAUCCGUAAAAUUUUAUAUCUCAUAAAUUUUUCGAAUUUGUUUUUAUAAAUUCAAGUUUUACACAUAAAAUUAAAUAAUUUUUUUAAUAAGAUUUAUUAUAUUUUAAAACUAGUAUUAGACAACAAGAAUAUUACAAAAAAACUUAAUAUUUUUUUUAAAAGGUACAUGAAGACACAAUUAUUACACAAAUUUAAAUAUUACAACAAUACUAAUUGUCUCAUAAAUUUGCUUUCGAAUCUCCAAAAUGUUAUCCAAACAAAUUUUGUAUAACCGAAUUAUGAGCAUUACAUAAAUAAUUUUAUGGAAUAAUAUGGUAUUUUACUUGUAGUUUAACAUUGAAUUAUGUAUUUCUAUUUAUAAUUUUAUAUUUUAGCGUCAGAUUUUAUAAAUUAAUAUUACUGUAAUAUUUAUAUAUAUGUGCUAGUUAUUUAUAAUUUUUAAUGAAUUUACGUUAAUUAUGAUAAAUAUAGAGACGAUAGUGUAAAAUACAAAAAAAAUUGAAGUUAAGUUCGAAGUUUUGGUUUUUGAGAAGAACUCUUGAAACUUCAAAUAUAGAGUUUUGCAAACUUCAAAAUAGAGAGAGUGCUUUUAGAGAUGCUCUAAAAAAGACUUUCUAUUUUAGAGUUUGUAAAACUCUAUAUUUGAAGUUUCAAGGUGUUCUUAUCUAAAAACAAAACUUCAAAUUUAACUUGAAAAUUAUUUGUGAUUUACACUAAGAUCCUUAUAUUUGUCAUAAUUAAUAUAAAUCCAUUAAAGUUUUAUAAAUGAUUAGCACAUAUAUAAAAAUAUUACAGUAAUAUUAUUAAUAAAAUCUUACACUAAAAUAUAAAAUUAUAAGUAGUAAUACAUACUUAGUUAUUAAAGUACAAGCAAAAUAUCACAUUAUUCCAUAAAAUUAUUUUGGCAAUGAUCCACUUUCAAUUACACAAAAUUUGUUUGGAAAAUAUUUUAGAGGUUCGAGAGGAAAUUUACUAGAUUAUUAGUAUUGUUGUAAUAUUUAAAUUUGUGCAAUAAUUAUGUCUUCACGUAUCUUUUCAAAAAUGUUUUUUAUUAAGUUUCUUUUAUAAUAUUCUUGUUGUCUAAUUCUAGUUUUAAGAUAAAAUUCUUUGAAGAUUUUGGAUCAAUAAGUUGUAUUUUUAAGAUAAAAUUCUCAAAAAUUCUAUUUUAGGAAAGUUUUAUUUUUAUUGAGAAAUAUUGUAGAUUUGGGGUUCUGAUUUAGAAAUUAGAACAACGAGAAUUUUUGUUGAUAAAUGAGCAUUCUUUUAAAAGUUUUGAUCAAUAGGUUGUAUGUUUUAGAUAAAAUUCUCAAAAAUUCUAUUUUUAGAAAGUUUUCAUUUUUAUAGAGAAAUAUUGUAGAUUUGGGGUUGUGAUUUAGAAUUUUGGAUAACAAGAAUUUUUGUUGAUAGAUGAGUAUUCUUUGAGGAUUUUUGAUCAAUAAGUUGUAUUUUUAAGAUAAAAUUCUCAAAAAUUCUAUUUUAGGAAAGUUUUUAUUUUUAUUGAGAAAUAUUGUAGAUUUGGGGUUCUGAUUUAGAAAUUAGGAUAACAUGAAUUUUUGUUGAUAGAUGAGUAUUCUUUUAGAUUUUUUGAUCAAUGAAUUUUUGUUGAUAGAUGAGUAGGAAAGUUUUAUUUUUAUUGAGAAAUAUUGUAGAUUUGGGGUUCUGAUUUAGAAAUUAGGACAACAAGAAUUUUUGUUGAUAGAUGAGUAUUCUUUUAAAAGUUUUGAUCAAUAGGUUGUAUAUUUUAGAUAAAAUUCUCAAAAAUUCUAUUUUUGGAAAGUAUUCAUUUUUGUGAAUAAUAGUGUGGAUUUGGGGUUUUGAUUUAGAAAUUAGGAUAACAAGAAUUGUUUGUUGAUAGAUGAGUAUUCAUUUAGAUUUUUUUGAUCAAUAGUUGUAUUUUUUAAAUAUAAUUCUCAAAAGUUCUAUUUUAUGAAAGUUUUCAUUUUCUAUAGAAAUAUUGUAGAUUUAGGGUUCUGAUUUAGAAAUGAGGAUAACAAUAUUUUUUGUUGAUACAUCAGUAUUUUUUAGAUUUUUUUUAUCAAUAGGUUGUAUAUUUUAGAAACAAUUUCAAAAAUUCUAUUUUUAGAAAGUUUUCAUUUUUAUAGAAAAAUAUUGUUGAUUUGGGGUUGUGAUUUAGAAUUUUGGAUAACAAGAAUUUUUUUUGAUUGAUGAGUAUUCUAUAAGGAUUUUUGAUCAAUAGGUUGUAUUUUUUAGAUAAAAUUCUCAAAAAUUCUAUUUUAAGAAAGUUUUUAUUUUUAUUUAGAAAUAUUGUAGAUUUGGGGUUCUGAUUUAUAAAUUAAGAUAACAAGAAUUUUUGUUGAUAGAUAAGUAUUCUUUUAGGAUUUUUGAUCAAUAAGUUGUAUUUUUUAGAUAAAAUUCUCAAAAAUUCUAUUUUAGGAAAGUUUUUUUAUUUUUAUUGAGAAAUAUUGUAGAUUUGGGGUUCUGGUUUAGAAAUUAGUACAACAAGAAUUUUUGUUGAUAGAUGAUCAUUCUUUUAAAAGUUUUGAUCAAUAGGUUGAAUAUUUUAGAUAAAAUUCUCAAAAAUUCUAUUUUUGGAAAGUUUUCAUUUUUAUAGCGAAAUAUUGUAGAUUUGGGGUUGUGAUUUAGAAUUUUGGAUAACAAAAUUUUUUGUUGAUAGAUGAGUAUUCUUUGAGGAUUUUUGAUCAAUAAGUUGUAUUUUUAAGGUAAAAUUCUCAAAAAUUCUAUUUUAGGAAAGUUUUUAUUUUUAUUGAGAAAUAUUGUAGAUUUGGGGCUCUGAUUUAGAAAUUAGGACAACAAGAAUUUUUGUUGAUAAAUGAGCAUUCUUUUAAAAGUUUUGAUCAAUAGGUUGUAUAUUUUAGAUAAAAUUCUCAAAAAUUCUAUUUUUGGAAAGUUUUCAUUUUUGUGAAUAAUAGUGUGGAUUUGAGGUUUUGAUUAAGAAAUUAGGAUAACAAGAAUUGUUUGUUGAUAGAUGAGUAUUAUUUUAGAUUUUUUGAUCAAUUUUUUAAAUAUAAUUCUCAAAAAUUCUGUUUUAGGAAAGUUUUAUUUUUCUAAAAAAAUAUUGUAGAUUUGGGGUUGUGAUUUAGAAAUUAAGAUAACAAUAUUUUUAGUUGAUAGAUGAGUAUUUUCUUUAGAUUUUUUGAUCAAUAGGUUGUAUAUUUUAGAUAAAAUUCUCAAAAAUUCUAUUUUUAGAAAGUUUUCAUUUUUAUAGCGUAAUAUUGUUGAUUUAGGGUUGUGAUUUAGAAUUUAGGAUAACAAGAAUUUUUGGUGAUAGAAGAGUAUUCAUUGAGGAUUUUUGAUCAAUAAGUUGUAUUUUUAAGAUAAAAUUCUCAAAAAUUCUGUUUUAGGAAAAUUUUAUUUUUAUUGAGAAAUAUUGUAGAUUUGGGGUUCUGAUUUAGAAAUUAGGACAACAAGAAUUUUUGUUGAUAGAUGAGCAUUCUUUUAAAAGUUUUGAUCAAUAGGUUGUAUAUUUUAGAGAAAAUUCUCAAAAAUUCUAUUUUUGGAAAGUUUUCAUUUUAUAGAGAAAUAUUGUAGAUUUGGGGUUGUGAUUUAGAAUUUAGGAUAACAAGAAUUUUUGUUGAUAUAUAAGUAUUCUUUAAGGAUUUUUGAUCAAUAAGUUGUAUUUUUAAGAUAUUAUUCUCAAAAAUUCUAUUUUAGGAAAGUUUUCAUUUUUUUGUAGAAAUGUUAUAGAUUUGAAGUUGUGAUUUUGAAAUUAGUAUAACAAGAAUUUUUGUUGAUAGAUGAGUAUUCUUUUAAAAGUUUUGAUCAAUACGUUGUAUAUUUUAGAUAAAAUUCUCAAAAGUUCUAUUUUUGGAAAGUUUUCAUUUUUGUGAAUAAUAGUGUGGAUUUGGGGUUUUGAUUUAGAAAUUAGGAUAACAAGAAUUGUUUGUUGUUAGAUGAGUAUUCUUUUAGAUUUUUUAUCAAUUGUUGUAUUUUUUGGAUAUGAUUCUCAAAAGUUCUAUUUUAGGAAAGUUUUCAUUUUCUAUACAAAUAUUGUAGAUUUGGGGUUGUGAUUUAGAAAUUAGGAUAACAAUAUUUUUUGUUGAUAGAUGAGUAUUUUUUUAGAUUUUUUGAUCAAUAGGUUGUAUAUUUUAGAAAAUUUUAUUUUUGGAAAGUUUUCAUUUUUAUAGCGAAAUAUUGUAGAUUUGGGGUUGUGAUUUAGAAUUUAGGAUAACUAGAAUUUUUGUUGAUAGAUGAGUAUUCUUUUAAAAGUUUUGAUCAAUACGUUGUAUAUUUUAGAUACAAUUCUCAAAAGUUCUAUUUCUGGAAAGUUUUCAUUUUUGUGAAUAAUAGUGUGGAUUUGGGGUUUUGAUUUAGAAAUUAGGAUAACAAGAAUUGUUUGUUGUUAGAUGAGUAUUCUUUUAGAUUUUUUGAUCAAUUGUUGUAUUUUUUGAAUAUAAUUCUCAAAAGUUCUAUUUUAGGAAAGUUUUCAUUUUCUAUACAGAUAUUGUAGAUUUGGGGUUGUGAUUUAGUAGUAAAGGAUUCGUCGUAAACGACACGUAAAUAUUUCGAUGUAAAGCACACGUAAAUACUUUCGUUGUAAAUCACUCGUAAACAUUUCGAUGUAAAACCCUCGUAAAUAUUUCGAUGUUAAUCACUCGUAAACAUUCGAUGUAAACUCCAUGUAAUGUUUACGAGGAGUUUACAUCGUUUCUUAUUAUAUUAUUAUUAAUUAGUAUAUAAUAGAUUUUAAUUUAUAUUUAAUAUUCAGAAUUGAAAAUAAUUUAAAUUUUAAAACGAAAUAUGAAAUUGGAAAAAAUAUUUUAAAAAGUCAUACAAUAAUAUUUAAAUUCAUAAUACAAACAGAAAAAUAAAAAAAAAACUACAUAUUCUCGAAGUAGUUAGUGGGGUUACUCGGCUGUUUACGGGUUGGAUCGGACUCUUGGGGAUCUCGUGGUGGCAUUCCAAGAGCGGCUCGUCUCUCACUCAACAUUCUCUGCAUAACCGGGUUUCCCACGGCCAUCACGUCUAGCAAAUCCUCAAGAGAGUCUAAACGAACCUGCUGGCUAUCCAUUCGAGCCUUCAUCUGAGCAGUCUCUUCAUCCCGUCUGGAAGUGUAUGACGAAGUUGCCCUUGCAACUUCGUUAACAGAGCCUAUACCGACUAUCCGUCCCUUCUUUUUAGGAGCCACCUAUAAAAUCAAAACAUAUAUUAAUAUAGUUAAUUAUGUUAAAAUAUUUAAAAUAAUGUAAACAAAAAUUUUAAGUUGUACCUCUUCGAAGAUUCUGUCGACCUCUUCGGUGGACAAUGUGACUGGUAAUCCAUCGGGAGACUCAUGGGUUAGUUGCGUCUCCCGUUCUUCAAUCCGACCAGCCACUGUUUGGAAGAGUUUCUCAGAUGCAGGAUCCACAUAAACUCCGUCGGAUGUGGCGUGAGUCAUCUUGAAUAGGUCAGACAGAGAAGGUAAGACUCCCGUUUUCUCGAACUACAAAAAAAAAAAUUAAAUUAAAUAUUAUAAAUUAUAUUAAUUGAAUAUUUUAAAAUAUAUAUUUAAAACAAAACUUACAGCUUCUAGACGGACUCCUGCAUGAGGUUUUUGUCCGGUUCUGUGAAGCAUGGGCAAAUGAACAUCUUUAUCCUUCGUCCUUCGAGAAGCCGAGCACGAAUUGGCCUUUUUGAUCGAAGAGGGGUGCUCCCAAUAGGCGAUGAGGCCAUCCCACACAUCCGUCGUGAGCUCAGUGGGCUUUCCCUCAUACCCGUAGAUUUCCCACUUGUCCUUCCAAUCAGAGACUGUGUUGCAGAGGUGUAUCUUUGCCUUUGCAACAAAUUCCGCCUUCACCCUCUCGGUGAUUCCCAAAGACCAAUGCCACUUUUGCUGAAACAUAAAAAUUUUGAAAAAAUUACAAUUAAUAAUAAAUAUUAAAUAUAUAUAUAUAUAUAUAUUUAAAAGUGAGAAUUUAAUUAAAUUUAAAAAUCUUACCGCAAAACAUUUAAACCACGUGAUCUUAACGUUAUUUGGUGUCUUGCUCCAGUUCGGGUAUGCCCCGUCGUAGUAACCCUUGAUCGUCGCCGAAACGCUCCGGCUAACACGCUUGUUAGCCCCAAACCUGAAAAAAAACAAUUUAACCGUUAGAAAAUAAAAAUUAAUUAAAUUUUAAUGUAAUAAAAAUUAAUAACUUACCAAUAAGUUCAUCGGGGUCUAUCGGGGUCUAGAACAUCCAAACCCUCCCGUCCAGGCUGGGCAAGCAAAUCCUCCACCGUAUAUCUCGCGAAGGGAGCAUAUGAAGGCACACGCAAAUCCGGAUGAACUGCACCUUCUGGGACAGGCUCAGGUGCAGCCGCCGGAGGAGGAGGUGGAGGCAUCUGCGGUGGAAGAGGAGGACUCGAAAAAACUCUCUGAGAAGUCUGAGAGUCUGGAACUGCAUCGGAAGACGAUGGACCGGAAGAAGAUGUACCGGAACCAUCGCCAAACAACUGGGCAUAAGUAGGUGCUGCUGGUUUCCUUCUAGGAGCCAUCUAAAAAAAAUUUAAAUAAAUUUAAUCAAUUAUGACGACAUAAUUAAAAAAUUAUUCUGUUACCUAACUAAUCACCUAAACUAUAGUAUUCCGUCAUCUAACUAAUCACCUAAACUAAUUAUCUAACUAAUCACCUAAAUUAAUUACCUAACUAAUUAAUAACCUAAACUAACUUAAAAUAAAAAAGGAGGAAAGAUAAUGUACCUUAGAGGGAGAGGAGAGGAGUUUGGGAGGAAUGAACGAGGCAGCCUCGUCUCGGCGUUUCAAUAUAUAGAAAAUGAUUCGUCGUAAACGCGACGUAAUAUUACGACGAAGUUACCAGGCCCGCGUUUUUCGUUUUACGACGAAAUUACGUCGAAACAUCGGUUUACGACGAAUUUACCAGGCCCGCGUUUACGACGAAUUUACCAGGCCCCCGUUUUUUCAUUUACGACGAAGUUACCAGGCCCGCGUUUUUCGAUUUACGACGAAAUUACGUCGAAACGUCGGUUUGCGACGAAUUUACCAGGCCCGCGUUUUUCGAUUUACGACGAAAUUACGUCGAAACGUCGGUUUACGACGAAUUUACCAGGCCCGCGUUUACGACGAAGUUACCAGGCCCGCAUUUUUCCAUUUACGACGAAAUUACGUGGAAUAGAUAACCAUUUACGACGAUUUUACAACGCUUAACCCUAAACACCGAGAAUGAAAUCCCUAAACCCCAAAGUCACAUAUCAUCUAACAUCAUAUCUCUUCUCUACUACUUUGUGCUCUUUCUCCAACUUAAACUCUAAAACCCUAAAACUCCAAAUAAUUUUUUAAAAACUAAAAAAAUACAUAUUAUAUAAAACAACAUUUGUUACACAUACAUUAGGAUGGUAAAAAACAAUAUUUCUUUAAACAUACGUUACAAUAGAGAAAUACAACAUUUGUUACAUAUAUUACAUCACUCUAAAUCGUUUUCGUUCUCAUCAAUAUUACAUCAUUCUAAAUCGUUUUCGUUCUCAUCACUAUCAUUACAAUCAUCAUCGUCGCUUCUCUCGAACUCGUCUUCACGUGCUUCAUCUGUCGCAUCUUCGGAAAUAUCUUCAUAUUGAAAGUUUUGCGGGUCGAUCAAAAGGAUUUCAUCAGUUGGUUGUUCUGGUACCUCAACUUCAUUGAUAGCGUCUUCUUCUUGCAAGGGCGGUUCUUCUCCAGCGAUAAUGCGUCCACGAGGUGUAAUUUUGAUAGUAGCUAACCAGUUUAUCCCGGAAGUUCGAAGCCGAGGAUAAGGAAGGAAGCUAACUUGCUCGGCUUGUGAAGCUAAAAUGAAAGGCUCAAAUUUGUUGUAUCUUCUCCCAAAAUUGACAUCUACAACACCAAAUUUGUUAUACCAAAUCCCUCGGUUCACAACAGGAUCGAACCAUUCACAUUUGAAGAGGACGCAUUUUAGCUUCAAUAACCCCGAAAAUUCCACCUCAAUAAUCUCCGGCAAGAUCCCGUAAAAGUUCGUUUCACCUUUCACACAUAUUCCGUAGUUACUCGUUGCCCGAUGUCUCCCAUACUCGUAUGUGUGAAAGGUAAAUCCUCGUGUGAAAUACAUAGGUGAUGUGGUGACAUUUGCAACUGGACCUUGAACCAAUUCGUGAAACCAUACGGGAUAAUAAGGAUCGUCAUAGUCAACCUGCAAAAAGCAGUUAUUCUUAAUUAAUAUUGAAGUAUCAAAAUACUUACUUAAUUAAUUAAUGUAUGAGAUAUAUUACGUACCUGUGAUUUUAACCACUUGAAAAAGUGCUUAUCUUUACGUGUGUCCACAUCAGUUGCAGAUAUUCCUGGUAUUGCUUCUUCAACUUGAGAUACAAACAUGCUGCAAAUUAAACAAAUAAGCAAGUCAUACAUAAUUAACUUCAAUUCAUAUGAUUAACAUUCACAAAAAUAUUUACCUUUCAAAGUAACGGGUCACUGCAUCCUCGCAGUUGAGCAGAAUAUAAGUGUGGGCACUAUGUUUAUCCUCUUCACAUGACCACCAUACUUCUUUCGUUUUAACACCAAACCGUGCAAUUUCGCAGAAAAUGUCAGGAACACCAUCAAUUGGAUAUGAUGUCGGUACUCCACCAUCAUCAUAUCUUCUAGGAACUCUUUUCCUCGUACGAACAGUUGGAGCAAAGUAGUAUGAUGUGAAGUUAGAUGUUUCGGCUGUCAAACUCCCCGCAACUAUUGAACCUUCCACCUUUGCAAGAUUUCUUGCUUUCCCCUUCAAAUGUUUCAUCUGUCGCUCAUACGGAUAUAUCCAUCCGUUGUGAACAGGUCCACGAAGCAAUGCUUCAUUCGGUAGGUGGACAACUAGAUGCUCCAUGACGUCAAAAAAUGAAGGAGGAAAUAUCUUCUCCAGGUUGCACAAUAUGAUCGGAAUGUUAUGAUGAAGUUGUUCGAUGACUUCUUCCUUGAACGUACGUGUGCUAAGAUCUCUGAAAAAAGCGCCGAUGGCUGUAUAUUGCAAAAGUAAUCAAAUUAAUAACAUUUCAUAACAUAUGUAUAUAUAUUAUAAAUUUAUAAUUACCUGCAAGUGCUUCAUGGACAUUUGCUGGAAGGAGCUCGGCAAAAGCAAAUGGAAGUAGUCGUUGCAUAAACACAUGACAAUCAUGACUCUUCAUUCCGGAGAACUUUUGACCUCGUUCAACACACCUUGACAGAUUUGAAACAUAACCAUCAGGAAACUUAACUUCUGAUGCAACCCAGUCAAACAAAGUUGUUUUGGCUUCUGAUGACAACCGGAAGAUGGGAACAGGAACGUUUCCAUUGCUCUUGAUAUGUGACUCACUUCUUGAGCAAAUAUCAGGUAAGUCCAUCCUUGACUUUUUGUUAUCUUUUGUCUUCCCAGGGACGUUGAGUAAUGUAUUCAUGAUGUUCUCAAAAAAGUUCUUCUCAAUAUGCAUGACAUCCAGAUUGUGGCGUAAGAGAAGAUCCUUCCAAUAGGGUAGCUCCCAAAAUAUACUCUUCUUAUGCCAAUUGUGAGACACACCAUACCCAUCAGGCAUAUUUCCAGGAACAUGCCAAUUUCCUCCAACUUUAACUGUUUCCUGAGCUCCGUAAUAAUCAAUGUCUGCUUCGAUCUGCUGGCCGGUGAGAUAUGGAGGAGGACCGUCUCUGACAAUUUUUUUGUGCCAAAACAAUGUCUUAUUUCUUCUGUACGGAUGGGCAAGUGGAAGAAAGCGACGAUGACAAUCAAACCAACAACUCUUCCUACCAUUCUUCAGUUGAAAAGCAUCCGUCGAUCCAAGACAAUAUGGACAAGAUAAUCUUCCAUGUGUUGUCCAGCCAGACAACAUCCCAUAAGCAGGGAAAUCACUUAUCGUCCACAGCAAAAUUGCUCGCAUCGUAAAAUUAUUUUUCAAGGAACAAUCGUACGUCCUCACCCCUUCUGACCACAAUUGCUUUAGCUCUUCUAUCAACGGUUGAAGAAAAACAUCAAGAGACCGUUUUGGAUGCUUCGGCCCAGGGAUUAAUAUGGUCAAAAAUAGAAAUUCUUGUUCCAUGCACAUAUCCGGCGGUAAAUUGUAUGGCGUAAGAAUGACUGGCCACAAAGAAUAUUGUCUACCAGACAUUCCAAAUGGACUAAAUCCAUCGGUGCAUAACCCAAGAUAGACAUUCCGAAUAUUUGUAGCAAAAUCUGCGUGUACCUUUUUGAAAUGUUUCCACGCUCUUGCGUCUGAUGGAUGUGCAACCUCACCAUCUCUCUGGACAUGUUCCGCAUGCCACCUCAUCGACGCAGCAGUCCUCUCAGAUUGAUAUAAUCUUUUCAAUCUAUCUGUAAUUGGUAGGUACCACAUCCUUUGGUACGGUACCCUAUUCCUCCCACGGCCUUGCGGUUUGAAUCGUGGUUUUUGCAGAAUCGACACUCUUCUAACUUGUCAUCUUCUUUCCAGUAGAUCAUGCAGUUGUCGAUGCAAACAUCAAUCAUCUCCGAAGGUAACCCAAGACUAUAAACCAAUUUUUGAAUCUCAUAAUAAGAUUCAGCAGACACGUUGUCUUCUGGCAAAUACUCUUUAAACAACUCCGCCCAUGCAUCCAUGCAAUUCUCAGGUAAAUUAUGAUCCGUUUUAAUAUUCAUCAUCCUAGCUGCUAGAGACAAUUUAGAGAGACCUUCUCUACAACCAGUGUAGAUUGGUUGAUUUGCAGCAUCUAGCAUUUCAUAAAACCUUUUUGCAUCCAAAUUAGGUUCUUCUACAUUUCCAGUUCCAUCAGCUAUUGUUGUAGUUGUUUCUAAAAAUGCAUCACUAAUCAUAUCUUGAACCCUAUCAUGAUCUACCAUCUGCUCAUGAUCUUGAUGAUAAUUAUAUUCAUUAUGCAAAUGAUUCGGUUCUUCACUAUGAUGACCAUCCUCAAAAUUAUUAUUACUACUACUAGCUUCAUUUUCCCCAUAACUCUCUCCAUGUUGAUACCAAAUGUAGUACUGUGGUGUAAAUCCUCUAUUUACUAAAUGCUUCCAUACAGUUUCACUACGUGCAAAUUUUGAAUUCUUGCAUUUCCGACAGGGGCAGAACAUCUUACCGCUUUCCUGUGUGAUCGGUGUACAGCCCGCCUGGUGCAUGAAUGUCUCUAGCCCGCUCAGAAAUGCGUUCGUCACCCUCCCGUCGGAAUCUUUGUGCAAAUACAUCCAACUCCGUAACUCGUAAAUACUACCGCCACCGGCCAUUUUUUUCUUAGAUUUUUUUUUGAAAUCUUUUUUUUUCUGAUUUUUUUUCGGAUUUUUUUUUCUCCCGUUUGUGUGUUGUGAGGAAGAGAGUUGUGGGAAAUGACAUAUAUAUAGAGAAAUUUUCGAGUUGGGUAGUUGAAAUAUAAAAACGAUUUUACAAGGAAUAUUUUACAUGGAUUUUACAUGGUUUUAACAUAAUAUUUACAACGACUUUACGACGAAAUUAGGUAAGUUAAAGCACAUUGAAUACACGUUUUCACCUAAAUAUAACGGUAACAUGUUUCGUUGUAAUGUCGAUGUAAUGAUUACGACGUAUUUCUCAUUCCACGUACAUUCGUCGUAAACUUACAUGGAGUUUACGACGAAAACUAUUCGUCGUAAAUUUACAUGGCGUUUACGACGAAAGUUGGAAUCCUCGUAACUGCGUUGUAAACACCAUGUAAAUUUACGACGAAAUAUUUUCGUCGUAAAUGUUCGUUGUUAUGAGCACGUUUUCUUGUAGUGUUGGGGUUCUGAUUUAGAAAUUAGGAUAACAAGAAUUUUUGUUGAUAGAUGAGUAUUCUUUUAAGAGUUUUGAUCAAUAGGUCAUAUAUUUUAGAUAAAAUUCUCAAAAAUUCUAUUUUUGGAAAAUUUUCAUUUUUUUAGGAAUAUUGUAGAUUUGGGGUUGUGAUUUAGAAAUUAGGAUAACAAGAAUUUUUGUUGAUAGAUGAGUAUUCUUUUACAUUUUUUUAUCAAUAUGUUGUAUUUUUUAGAUAAAAUUCUCAAAAAUUUUAUUUUGAGAAAGUUUUCAUUUUUGUAGAGAAAUAUUGUACAUUUUGGGGUUGUGAUAGGAUAACAAGAAUUUUUGGUGAUAUAUGAGUAUUCUUUUAGAUUUUUUGAUCAAUAGGUUGUAUAUUUUAGAUAAAAUUCUCAAAAAUUCUAUUUUGUGGAAAGUUUUCAUUUUUAUAGAGAAAUAUUGUAAAUUUGGGGUUGUGAUUUAGAAUUUAGGAUAUAUAGAAUUUUUGUUGAUAGAUGAGUAUUCUUUUAGAAUUUUUGAUCAAUAAGUUGUAUUUUUUAGAUAAAAUUCUCAAAAAUUCUAUUUUAUUAAAGUUUUUAUUUUUAUUAAGAAAUAUUGUAGAUUUGGGGUUCUGAUUUAGAAAUUAGGCUAAGAAGAAUUUUUUUUGAUAGAUGAGCAUUCUUUUAAAAGUUUUGAUCAAUAGGUUGUAUAUUUUAGAUAAAAUUCUCAAAAAUUAUAUUUUUGGAAAAUUUUCAUUUUUGUGAGUAAUAGUGUGGAUUUGGGGUUUUGAUUUAGAAAUUAGGAUAACAAGAAUUGUUUGUUGAUAGAUGAGUAUUCUUUUAGAUUUUUUGAUCAAUAGUUGUAUUUUUUAAAUAUAAUUCUCAAAAGUUCAAUUUAAAGAAAGUUUUCAUUUUCUAUAGAAAUAUUGUAGAUUUGAGGUUGUGAUUUAGAAAUUAGAAUAACAUAAUUUUUUGUUGAUAGAUGAGUAUUCUUUUAAAAAUUUUGAUCAAUAGGUCGUAUAUUUUAGAUAAAAUUCUCAAAAAUUCUAUUUUAGGAAAGUUUUUAUUUUUAUUGAGAAAUAAUGUAGAUUUGGGGUUCUGAUUUAGAAAUUAGGAUAACAAAAUUUUUUGUUGAUAGAUGAGUAUUCUUUUAAAUAUUUUGAUCAAAUGGUUGUAUAUUUUAGAUAAAAUUCUCAAAAAUUCUAUUAUUGGAAAUUUUUCAUUUUUAUAGAGAAAUAUUGUAGACUUGAGUUCUGAUUUAGAAAUUAUGAUAGCAAGAAUUUUUGUUGAUAGAAGAAUAUUCUUUUAAAAGUUUUGAUCAAUAGGUUGUAUAUUUUAGAUAAAAUUCUCAAAAAUUCUAUUUUUGGAAGUUUUCAUUUUCAUAGAGAAAUAUUGUAAAUUUGGGGUUGUGAUUUAGAAUUUAGGAUAACAAGAAUUUUUGUUGAUAGAUGAGUAUUCUUUAAGAAAUUUUGAUCAAUAGGUUGUAUUUCCUAGAUAAAAUUCUCAAAAAUUCUAUUUUAGGAAAGUUUUUAUUUUUAUUGAGAAAUAUUGUAGAUUUGGGGUUCUGAUUUGGAAAUUAGGAUAACAAGAAUUUUUGUUGAUAGAUGAGUAUUAUUUUAAAAGUUUUGAUCAAUAGGUCUUAUAUUUUAGAUAAAAUUCUCAAAAAUUCUAUUGUUUGGAAAGUUUUCAUUUUAUUGUAGAAAUAUUGUAGAUUUGGAGUUGUGAUUUAGAAUUUAGGAUAACAAGAAUUGUUGUUGAUAGAUGAGUAUUCUUUUAGGAUUUUUGAUCAAUAAGUUCUAUUUUUUAGAUAAAAUUCUCAAA